rnacentral:ncRNA from 1 species
GCAGAGUAGGGCUUUGAGCGUUAAGUGCCGUUUGAACGGGGAGUUGUCAAACGAACGAAAAGUUUUCUUGCGGUUCAAAGCUUGCAUCCCGCUGC